GUAAGCUUGUUUGGAUUCUGCUUCUCACGCUACUUUGGGGAGAAGGCAGGGGAGGUGUAGGCAUCUGUGUUUUAUGGCCAAAGAAGCCCAGAUGAUGACUGAUGACCCAAUGACUGCUCAAGGUCUUCCGGGCAGGGAGGCAGGUCUUUGACCCAGACCCAGCUUUGCCUCCACCACACCCUUUUGACACUGGAGUUGACCCUCCAGGAAGAAGGACUCUGGCUCCAAGGUGUAAUGAAAAGCCAUGUGCUGCGUUCCUAAACAUCACCAGAUAUUUCCAGGGGAAAAUAGUAGCUUCAGUGUGACCAUUAGCGGCCACACCUUCGUGAGCCUCGGCAGGCAGAGCCGCCAUCCCUCUGACUUUGUAACAAGGUACAGACAGAAAGUGGAACCAGAGGAAGAUUUUCCGUGAGAUAACAUCCACUGCCAAUCCUCCUCUUUUCGUUUGUGAGCCGCUGCCACAGCAUGGCCAUUGACAGAUGAGUGGGUUGUACAUUCUUACGACAAUGUCAAUCAUCUGAAUGCAUCGGGUUGAGGCUGCUGAGAGAAGGAGAGCUUCUCUAAUGUGAACAUGAAAGUAUACGUGUCCAGAUUCACGCAGGAAUGUGGUUUGAAAAGGAAUCAGAAACAGCCUUUCUUUUCCAUUCCUGAACUGCCCUGGGCGCCACAAAGUCACAGAUUUGAACCACUGCAGAGCUAUUUGGUGGAAAGGAAGUCACUAUCUACGAGGAGUCAUAGAUGAAAUGACGUGAAUCAUGCAUGAGUUUCUCUAGCUGCCUCCGGAGUCUAAGCCUGGGGGCAUGGCCGAAUUCUCAAGCAUCUGCCCCAUGAGGAUGACUCGGUUUUACUGGAUUGACCACCUAGAUGAUGCGAUAUUUCCAGAAACUUGGGGAUCCAUCACAGAACAGUACUUGAAUUGUCUAUGAGCCAACUCUAUGCCUCACAACAUAAAUCAGCUGGAAGUUAAAAGUCACCACAAGUCAUGUAAACCUACAUCCAGGAUUGAGAAUUGUUUUUGAUUUAAUACAUUUCACAGUUCUUGAGGAUGGUUUAGACUCCUAAAUACCAAUAAUCUCUUGACUUGACCACAUCUGAUUAAAGACUAAUUUUAGGCCUCUAACUGUGUAUUAUGAUCUGAAAAUAGUGCUUUGGACUGUUUUUAUGUUUCUGAUAAAUAUCUACACGUUCGAAUAGCUAACGCAUUUACCAUUAAAAAAUGUCAUGCAGCAGCACGCACCGUGUAUGUAUUUCUGAUGGAAUGGUUUACAAAUGAAAAAAAAAAUUAAACACCCUCAUCUCUUAAAGCCAUGCCUGGGCUUAACUUCUCUGGAUUAUUCUACAUAUUCCAAAGCGUUUAUCCUUUGAACUCACUUUUCUUUCAAUUUCCAGCCAAAUAAUUUUUAUUUAAAUUCAACACAUCUUAAGGCUCACGUUCCUGAGUCCAGCGUGAAAGAAAAAGUCCUUCAGGGCUCACUGCCAUUUGCCAAGCUGAAAUGAUUGACACACCCUGUGACCAAGGAGGGCCCAGCCUUUCCUGUUUCAGAAUAU
ensembl:lncRNA